AACGCACAUUGCGCCCCUCGGUAUCCCGGGGGGCAUGCCUGUUCGAGCGUCAUUUCUACUACUCAAGUUUAACUUGGUAUUGGGCAUCGUUAUGAAAAUUUUAACGUGCUUUAAAUGUAGACGGCAACAAUUCCCCAGCUUAGAGCGUAGCAGUAAAACAUUUUCGCUUUAAAAGCUGCUGGGUCUUGUUUACCGCAUAGUUUUUACUACAGUUUGACCUCGGAUCAGGCAGGGAUACCCGCUGAACUUAA
rnacentral:misc_RNA from 1 species